rnacentral:other from 1 species
AAGCUGUUAAGAUAAAAGAGAAUUAUUUUUGUUCGAGAGGUACAAGUGCUGUAAAGCUUAUUGUCUUGAUAUUGCUUUGAGCAGGAAUAGUAUUAUUUUGUGCAAAUUGCACAACGGGAGGCAACAUAACAUGGAACAAGGUAAAGUAAAAUGGUUUAACGCAGAAAAAGGUUUCGGUUUCAUCGAGCGCGAAGCUGGAGACGACGUAUUCGUUCACUUCUCAGCAAUUCAAGGCGAAGGCUACAAAACUCUUGAUGAAGGUCAAGAAGUUACGUUCGAAGUUGAACAAGGCCAACGUGGUCCACAAGCAACUAACGUACAAAAAAACUAAUCAUAAUAUACUUUAUAAAAAGGCAAUCUCAUUUGAGAUUGCCUUUUUU